rnacentral:lncRNA from 1 species
GGGUUUGGGCGCGCAUCGAACUCUGAAGGGUCGGGAAGGCCUGUCGUUGGAAUGUGGUUGAGUUCCAGGGAGUGUACAGGCUGGAGGAUGGGACAAGACCUAUCUCUGUAUCGAUCAAGCACGGCGUUGGUGUUCCAGCUCAUCACCAAUCCUAAGGAAUUCAAGUGCCUCCCAGGAUGAAUACAGGUAAUUUUUCCAACUGGGGCAUUGGGGUGGCCUCUCUUUUUCCCCACAGAGCAAAUGGGCAGUGGAGCAGUGUUACCUUUUUGCUCCUUCAGUUUCUUCCUUUUGCAAUGAUUUUCCUGGGGAGGGAGACAGCAAGCAGCACAGUUGGUUCUGUGAGGGUGUUCUCUUCCUUCACUCAUAUGUCACUGUCAGAUGAUUUGAAUUGACAAUGCUGAUCCUCUGUGAGGUCCAACACUUAAUAGCAUGUUAGAGUUCUGAUGGCAGUUUACAUGAAUGAAAAAGUGUUAUCUUGUGAUAGUAUUUUAAAAUAACCAUUUGCUGCUGUUCUACAGGUUGUCUUGAUGGUGAUACAUUCAUCUGUCUUAAGAUCCCUGCUGAUCUGCUCAUGGUCAAACUCAUGGAAAGAGUUGAGAGUGGGGCACCUUGUUCCUGCAUCCUCAAAGGAGCAUCUUGUUCCAGAGUUAAAAGGUUCCAGAGUUAAAAGGUUAGUUGAUUAAUGUCACCAUAAUAUAUGCCACCAAGUAAGCAGUUUCUGUGAUGAAUCAAACUAGCUCACUAUGAACUAACAAUGAAAAGAUAUGAACACCUGAGAAACUGGAGAACAGAGCAGUGGGAUACUGUCUGCAAGGAACUUAAUAUCACUUACAGUUUUGUCCUUUCCUAGGUACCUGUACCAUUUAGCGGCUUGUUCACUCAAAGGUAAAGGUGAGUGAUUUAUAUGUUGGCGCAUACAGUGUACUGAGGGAGAAAAUGCCUUUUUAGGCAUCUACACAUGAUGACUUACAUGGAAUCUCGUUCGGCUGAUGAUUUGCUGUUGAGACUCGGAAAUCUGAAUUUUUUUUUCUUUUAAGAACUUAAGUGGGAACAAAUUUUAAUGUAGGAAGUAAGCAUUACUGACUCAUUCUUGUUUUGUUUUAGAUCCAUCUUUUCUGGAGCCUGAGGAUGAUUGGAGGUGAAAGGUGUAAGCCAUACUCUGCUCAACUCCAGUCUGAAACUAAGGUUAAAAGAACACGUACUUAACACACGGGUAAGAAUCCAACUCUUGGAGGACAUCAGAAGUGGAAUUUUCUUAUACAACCUACCUAUUCAAAUUAGCAUAUAAUCUUUCUAGCCUUUCUAAAUAAAUAAAGGGAUUUUUUUGUAA